GAACGCCGGGGAGUCCCGGACCAGAGAAAAGCCUGUUUCUCAGGCCUCGGGGUCACACUCUGGCUGAGACUGCACCGGCCUAGUAGUAUUGAUCGCAGCUGGCCACAACUCAAGCUAACAUGGAUACUAAGCCAUUUAUGUCAUGGGAAGUCAUAUAAGAAGGACCACAUGGCAGUGAACUGAAGGCUGUUGCCAACAGCCUGGUGAAUGAUCUUGGAAGUGGAUCCUCCAGCCCCAGUCAAGUCUUCAGAGACCGUAGUCUUGGCCAACAACUUGACUGCAAUCUCAUAAGAGACCCUGAGCCAGACUAUCCAGCCAGAAACUUUGUGGUGAUCUCAAGAUGCUUGAAACUGCAGAUAUUGGUACUGUCCAAGUCUAUGGUAUGACCAAGGGAGAGAGUGCUGAGGUAGAAGAACAAAACUGCGGCAGAAGAAGUCACAGAAAUGAGGGCAAGAGCACUUAAUGGACUAUUCCUGAGGUUAUUGAAAUCACCAAGAUCCAUGACCAGAAUAGUGUUGGUGAGAGCCAGGAGCAACAGUCUUCAAGGAAUUCCAGGAAAAGACCUGGAGGUUGGUGGAUGACUGUAGCUGGCAAAUUAGUACAUGGCAUAACCUAACAUGGAGUCAAAGCGAAGGGCGAAGCAGAGAAAAAGGAGCUCCCUUUUUAUAAAUAAUAGAAUUAAAAAAACAAAUGGUUUUAGAUAGCACUGAGUAAUGAAGUAACAAGAAGGAAACCCAACAUUGUAGGGCAAUUAUCCUCCGAUUUUAAAAAAUAGUGUAAAUUUUUUAUGGUUAAUUUUAAAAAAAAGAAAGUAAGGGGAAAAAAAGAAAACCCACCCCACAUCCACCCAGAGUGGUGAGAAACAGAAAACAGCUACUGCUGAAGAGGGCCAGAGGGAGAUGGAUUUGUGCACCUACACACACACACACACACACACACACACACACUCCAACACUAGGAAGAAGUGUUAUCAGGUAGCUUCUCUAACCUGCUCACUCAGGUCUGUGCCUCCCACUAGCUACUGUGGCUUCAUAUAUAAAUCUAUAUUCUUGCAUUUCCAGAGAGGUCUCAUCUUGAGCCCAGCUCCCAUUUGCUGAUGUUUUCACAAGGCUUAUCUUCCAUGGCCAGAGUUAGUUUCUUGGCAAGGGAACUGUUUGCUUAGAAAUGUCUGUCUUCUUCAGAAACUUAAAAGAACGAGUGUUGCUGGCACCAGAGUCUUGCGGCCCUGCUUCAAUCACUCCUCCUCGGGGGGACGCCCUCUGAUGUGUGUGGCUGGCGGAUCCCUGGCCAUCAAUGCGCAGAGCUCUGAGUCACUGGGUCCUUGGCAGCGGUCCACCCCACACAGAACUCCAAAAUGUGCUGCUUGAUCAUCACUAACCUGUUUGUGGCUGACUGACACCCCCCUCUCCAACCUGUAACACAUUGGAAAACGUGGUCACCUGUUCAUCCCAAGGGUCUGUCCUAAGGAGAACCUUUCCUGAAGUGGGAAAAAUGGCCUGUUCCCCCCUCUAGGGACCUGGAAGCUCAACUGCUGAGUCAUCACCCACUUCCACUCUCUUCCUCACAUUUGAGCAGGAUUCCCCAGUGUUAGCAUCCAAUGUUCUGGGCUGUUUCCUCCAAGUCUUCUGUGUUCCUCCUCCCCUUUACCUAACUCUUGAUGCUAAAAGCUCAAUUCCUCUGUUCACUGGUGCCGAAUUAAAUCUUGGACAGAAUUUGGGGGGAAGCAGAAAAGAGUAGCUUUAUUGCUUUUCCAGGCAAAGCGGGCCACAGUGCACUCAUGCCCUCAAAACUGUGUGUCCCCACUUGGGGAAGACAGUGACAAGUUUAACAGUAAAUGUCAGCUCCUGACAUUCUUCUGAUGGGUUGGUGGGGAGGUAAGUGGGUGUCAACAUUGUCAGCCUUCAGGUCCAACUGGUCUGGGGUCAACAGGCUUGUGGGGAGCAUACCAUAACUUCUCCCACCUGGAAGGAGUUUCCAUAGCUAAAAAAUACCUCCAAGAUAUUGUUGUGUGUCUUCUGUGAUGGGGAAACAGAACCUUGCCCCAAGGCUGCUCUUGACUGUUUCUACCUGGUCUUGCAUCCCCUCCCUUCCCUAAUUAACAGCUGUUUGAAUUUACCCAUUGGAACUCUGGGAAGGUCAUGAAGACUGAAUGAAGGCUGUUUCCUGUGAUCAAGGAAAUGGGAGACACAGAAAGGCUCUGUCCCCAGGAGCCCCACAUGGCCCAGCUUGGUAUCAAUCCCAAAAUAACCUUUCUAACUGAAAUCGUUGGCAAGGGUCCUUCUGCUUGUUUGUGCCAACCAAGUUUUUUACAAAGUGUUUCCUUGUAAAUGGCAUCAAUAACAGAUUGUUCCAAUUAAGCCCACUUGUCUCAAGAGCAUCUGCUGUACUCAUCUUUGCAAAAAAUUCUCUAAAUUUAUCAAAGAUAAAGAAGCAUUUUCCCCUUUCUCUUGGUGGGUGAUUAAAAAAAAAUUAACACAAGAAUUUCAUUGUCCUCCAUAUUACCAAAUGCUCAUCUCACAUGGACAUAGAGAUGCGCUUCCCAGAUCCUGAAUCAAGGAAGGACUUGAUGGCCUAGCUUCUGAGAGUGUUGUAGCCCCUUGAGCUGUCAGCUCCUUAAGGGACAUUAGCUUCAGAGAGCAGCCUUGCUCUCUGAGGAGGAGACUCAUCCCAAGACUGAUGGUCUGGAAAUGUAAAGACAAGGUGCUUUUUGUUUAUUAUUAUUAUUUUUUAAACUUUUUAUUUUGUAUUGAGGUGUAGCUGAUUACCAGUGUUGUGAUGGUUUCA